UACAGAGGUCCCGAGCGUUGUUCGGAUUUAUUGGGCGUAAAGGGUGCGUAGGUGGUCGGGUAAGUCUGAUGUGAAAUCUCCGAGCUUAACUCGGAAAUGGCAUUGGAUACUAUUCGGCUAGAGGGUUUGAGGGGGGACUGGAAUACUUGGUGUAGCAGUGAAAUGCGUAGAUAUCAAGUGGAACACCAGUGGCGAAGGCGAGUCCCUGGAAAACUCCUGACACUGAGGCACGAAAGCUAGGGGAGCAAACAGG
rnacentral:rRNA from 1 species